rnacentral:rRNA from 1 species
UACGGGGGGGCAAGCGUUGUUCGGAAUUACUGGGCGUAAAGGGCGCGUAGGCGGUUCGCUAAGUUGGAUGUGAAACUCUGGGCUCAACCCAGAGCCUGCAUCCAAAACUGGCGGGCUAGAGUUCUGGAGGGGUAGCGGAAUUCCUGGUGUAGCGGUGAAAUGCGUAGAUAUCAGGAGGAACACCGGUGGCGAAGGCGGCUACCUGGACAGAACUGACGCUGAGGCGCGAAAGCUAGGGGAGCAAACAGG